rnacentral:rRNA from 1 species
UACGAAGGGGCUAGCGUUGCUCGGAAUCACUGGGCGUAAAGGGUGCGUAGGCGGGUCUUUUAAGUCAGGGGUGAAAUCCUGGAGCUCAACUCCAGAACUGCCUUUGAUACUGAAGAUCUUGAGUUCGGGAGAGGUGAGUGGAACUGCGAGUGUAGAGGUGAAAUUCGUAGAUAUUCGCAAGAACACCAGUGGCGAAGGCGGCUCACUGGCCCGAUACUGACGCUGAGGCACGAAAGCGUGGGGAGCAAACAGGG